GACGGGGGGAUGAGGGAACGGGCAAGGGGUGGAGGGCAGGGGUCCUCACCCCCGCAUCCUGCAAGCCCCCCUUCCCCAAGACCGGGGCAGAGACCAACUUUCCUCCACCAGCCUCCUCCAGGACUGCACCUGUCUCCAAAGUCGCGAUAGUCAAAAAGGAGAAAUUCUAGAAGAAUAGGAGCCGCCGCGAUACAUACGCAUCUGUUUUUUCCCCGUCCCCACUUCGCUCACAUGGAAGAAAACAGAAGGAUUUUUUAGCGGCGUGUCAAUUACCCAAAGGGAUGGGGAACAUCUGGCUCGCUUAUUCAUGACGUGUCAGGAAAAUGUAUUGUUGGAGCUGAGAUGGUUUGAUAGCUGCAAGAUGCAAGCUUGGAAACAAGGAGUUCCUCUGUUGCUGAACUCAAGAAGUUGUGAGUAAUUAAGAAGAUGAAGAAUGUAUGUGAUAUACUUUGGAGACUUGGCUUUAGAUAAUAUGCUUCUUAGACUGAAGAUACCAAUCUGCUUUUCUCAGGAAGAAAUUGGGGGAAAUGGAGGCUCCUUUCAGGAAAAACUAUCAAAGAGGUUCUUUAAGAGCUUUCUUCGGAAAGAAUGCCGAACAACAGAUGCAUACACCUAAAGGUGGUGGAAGAAAUUCUGGAAAGAAGAAGACAUUCAUUGGAACCCAGCUAAAGAAUCAAUUGAGAGAAGAGAUGUGGAUAAUACAAAUUAACAGG